CAACUUAACUGGCAGGGGAAACACUGAUCACAGAGGAGUUUUUCCCAGAGUGAGGCUUAUCCAUUGCACUCGGGAUGUGCCAACCCCUGGGAUAUCUCCAAAUGUGGGAAACUUGACUGUGUAAUUUGUAAUAGUGAGAGACUACGUUCACGCUCUUUCCUA